rnacentral:rRNA from 1 species
UACGAAGGGGGGCUAGCGUUGCUCGGAAUCACUGGGCGUAAAGGGCGCGUAGGCGGCGUUUUUAAGCGGGGGUGAAAGCCUGUAGCUCAACCACAGAAUGGCCUCGAUACUGGGACGCUUGAGUAUGGUAGAGGUUGGUGGAACUGCGAGUGUAGAGGUAAAAUUCGUAGAUAUUCGCAAGAACACCGGUGGCGAAGGCGGCCAACUGGACCAUUACUGGACGCUGAGGCGCGAAAGCGUGGGGAGC